UACGUAGGGCGCAAGCGUUAUCCGGAAUUAUUGGGCGUAAAGAGCUCGUAGGCGGUUUGUCGCGUCUGCCGUGAAAGUCCGGGGCUCAACUCCGGCUCUGCGGUGGGUACGGGCAGACUAGAGUGAUGUAGGGGAGACUGGAAUUCCUGGUGUAGCGGUGAAAUGCGCAGAUAUCAGGAGGAACACCGAUGGCGAAGGCAGGUCUCUGGGCAUUAACUGACGCUGAGGAGCGAAAGCAUGGGGAGCGAACAGG
rnacentral:rRNA from 1 species